CUACUACUCCCUCCGUCCCGAAUUACUUGUCACGGAAAUGUAUGUAUUUUGAUUUUUAGUUCUAGAUAAAUCUAUCUCUAUCCAUUUUUACGACAAGAAAUUUGGCAUGGAGGGAGUACUAU
rnacentral:pre_miRNA from 1 species